GUGUGUGUGUGUGUGUGUGUGUGUGUGUGUGUGUGUGUGUGUGUGUGUGUGUGUGUGACCCUUUCUAGCAGGAGGGCAAGUGACUGAUGGAAUCUGCCGCUAAAGUCUCUGCCUGAAGAGCCAUUUGCAUCUCAUGUGCUGGGGGAUUUAGAAGGGGCCUCACCAGACGACAUGGUCAACAUGGACGAUAACCUGACGAUGGACAAUGGCAGUCACAGCCUGGACAAGAAAACAAAAAACAUUGAUGUCAUUUCUCUUUCUCACCAUCUUGCUCACAACAUUGAUGGUUGGAGACAGACUUCUGCAGCUCCCUCUGUUGGUGAAAUGACAAAACUGCACGUGCCCCUGCCCUGCUAUUUUGACUGCCUCCCCUGUAACCAUCCGUCUGAUCCUGGAUCUGCUGCUGAGGCUGUGCUCCAGUGGAUGGCUUCAUUUCUGCCCACCAACUCCCACCCACAUCGAAU